GGUCUCUUGUGUCGGCACCUGGGUGGCUUGCCGCCCACACAACCAAAUUAAAAAAUAACACAGAAGGGUAAGGUAAGUCUCCAUUAAACCCAGGAAAGAGACUGGAAAACUCCUCUUUGGAGCCUGUCUAUAGUCACAGGU
rnacentral:snoRNA from 1 species